rnacentral:rRNA from 1 species
CCUACGGGGUGCUGCAGUGGGGAAUAUUGCACAAUGGGCGCAAGCCUGAUGCAGCCAUGUCGCGUGUGUGAAGAAGGCCUUCGGGUUGUAAAGCACUUUCAGCGGGGAGGAAGGCGGUGAGGUUAAUAACCUCAUCGAUUGACGUUACCCGCAGAAGAAGCACCGGCUAACUCCGUGCCAGCAGCCGCGGUAAUACGGAGGGUGCAAGCGUUAAUCGGAAUUACUGGGCGUAAAGCGCACGCAGGCGGUCUGUCAAGUCGGAUGUGAAAUCCCCGGGCUCAACCUGGGAACUGCAUUCGAAACUGGCAGGCUAGAGUCUUGUAGAGGGGGGUAGAAUUCCAGGUGUAGCGGUGAAAUGCGUAGAGAUCUGGAGGAAUACCGGUGGCGAAGGCGGCCCCCUGGACAAAGACUGACGCUCAGGCGCGAAAGCGUGGGGAGCAAACAGGAUUAGAUACCCGGGUAGUC